ensembl:lncRNA
CCCACAUCCAUCAGAGGUUGACUUUGGCCGCCCCACAUCCAUCGGACGUUGGUUUGGCUGCCCCACAUCUACCGGACGUUGACUUUGGCCGCCCCACAUCCAUCGGACGUUGGUUUGGCUGCCCCACAUCUACCGGACGUUGGCUUUGGCUGCCCCACAUCUACCGGAUGUUGGCUUUGGCCGCCCCACAUCCAUCAGACGUUGGCUUUGGCUGCCCCACAUCCGUUGGGAUAUUGGCUUUGGCCGCCCCACAUCUAUCAGACGUUGGUUUGGCUGCCCCACAUCUACCGGACGUUGGCUUUGGCCGCCCCAUAUCUAUCAGAGGUUGGCUUUGGCCGCCCCACAUCCAUCGGACGUUGACUUUGGCUGCCCCACAUCCGUUGGGAUAUUGGCUUUGGCUGCCCCACAUCCAUCGGACGUUGGCUUUGGCUGCCCCACAUCUGUUGGAAUAUUGACUUUGGCUGCCCCACAUCCAUCGGACGUUGACUUUGGCCGCCCCACAUCCAUCAGACGUUGGUUUGGCUGCCCCACAUCUACCGGACGUUGGCUUUGGCUGCCCCACAUCUAUCAGACGUUGGCUUUGGCCGCCCCACAUCCAUCAGACGUUGACUUUGGCUGCCCCACAUCCAUCGGACGUUGGUUUGGCUGCCCCACAUCCAUUGGGAUAUUGGCUUUGGCCACCCCACAUCCCAUCGGACGACGGUUUGGCUGCCCCACAUCCCAUAGGAUGCUGAAUAUGGCCACCCCACAACCCCAAUAUGGCCACCCCAUAUCCCUAAUUAAUUUACCCACCCCAUAUCCUUAAUUUGGCCACCCCACAUCCCAUAGGACGACGGUUUGGCUGCCCCACAUCCCAUAGGAUGCUGAAUAUGGCCACCCCACAUCCCAUAGGAUGACAGUUUGGCUGCCCCACAUCCCAUAGGAUGCUGAAUAUGGCCACCCCACAACCCUAAUAUGGCCACCCCACAUCCCAUAGGAUGACGGUUUGGCUGCCCCACAUCCCAUAGGGUGCUGAAUUUCCCCCCCCCAACCCUAAUAUGGCCACCCCACAACCUUAAUAUGGCCACCCCAUAUCCCUAAUUAAUUUGGCCACCCCAUAUCCUUAAUUUGGCCACCCCACAACCCUAAUAUGGCCACCCCACAUCCCAUAGGAUGACGGUUUGGCUGCCCCACAUCCCAUAGGGUGCUGAAUUUCCCCCCCCAACCCUAAUAUGGCC